AUCCAGUUGACGAGUCCCAAAUAGAACGAAAAGGACGUCCUGGAC
rnacentral:hammerhead_ribozyme from 1 species